AUUGAACGCUGGCGGCAUGCCUUACACAUGCAAGUCGAACGGCAGCACGGGUGCUUGCACCUGGUGGCGAGUGGCGAACGGGUGAGUAAUACAUCGGAACAUGUCCUGUCGUGGGGGAUAGCCCGGCGAAAGCCGGAUUAAUACCGCAUACGAUCUACGGAUGAAAGCGGGGGACCUUCGGGCCUCGCGCUAUUGGGUUGGCAGAGGGCUGAUUAGCUAGUUGGUGGGGUAAAGGCCUACCAAGGCGACGAUCAGUAGCUGGUCUGAGAGGACGACCAGCCAGACUGGGACUGAGACACGGCCCAGACUCCUACGGUAGGCAGCAGUCGGGAAUUUUGGACAAGGGGGGAAAGGCUGAUCCAGCAAUGCCGCGGGUGUGAAGAAGGCCUUCGGGUUGGAAAGCACUUUUGUCCGGAAAGAAAUCCUUGGCCCUUAUACGGUCGGAGGAUGACGGUACCGGAAGAAUAAGCACCGGCUAACUACGUG
rnacentral:rRNA from 1 species